AACGAACGCUGGCGGCAUGCCUAACACAUGCAAGUCGAACGAGACCUUCGGGUCUAGUGGCGCACGGGUGCGUAACGCGUGGAAACCUGCCCUUAGGUUCGGGAUAACUCCCCGAAAGGGGUGCUAAUACCGGAUAAUGUCUUCGGACCAAAGAUUUAUCGCCUUUGGAUGGGCCCGCGUUGGAUUAGCUAGUUGGUAGGGUAAAAGCCUACCAAGGCGACGAUCCAUAGCUGGUCUGAGAGGAUGAUCAGCCACACUGGGACUGAGACACGGCCCAGACUCCUACGGGAGGCAGCAGUGGGGAAUAUUGGACAAUGGGCGAAAGCCUGAUCCAGCAAUGCCGCGUGAGUGAUGAAGGCCUUAGGGUUGUAAAGCUCUUUUACCCGGGAUGAUAAUGACAGUACCGGGAGAAUAAGCUCCGGCUAACUCCGUG
rnacentral:rRNA from 1 species